UAACCCUCUGUGGACUGGCUGGCA
rnacentral:piRNA from 1 species